GAGGAAUAUUGGUCAAUGGGCGAGAGCCUGAACCAGCCAAGUCGCGUGAAGGAUGACUGUCUUAUGGAUUGUAAACUUCUUUUAUACGGGAAUAACAAGAGUCACGUGUGACUCCCUGCAUGUACCGUAUGAAUAAGCAUCGGCUAACUCCGUGCCAGCAGCCGCGGUAAUACGGAGGAUGCGAGCGUUAUCCGGAUUUAUUGGGUUUAAAGGGUGCGUAGGCGGCCUGUUAAGCCAGCGGUGAAAUCUAGGAGCUUAACUCCUAAAUUGCCAUUGAUACUGGCGGGCUUGAGUGUAGAUGAGGUAGGCGGAAUGCGUGGUGUAGCGGUGGAAUGCAUAGAUAUCACGCAGAACUCCGAUUGCGAAGGCAGCUUACUAAGGUACAACUGACGCUGAAGCACGAAAGCGUGGGUAUCAAACAGGAUUAGAUACCCUGGUAGUCCACGCAGUAAACGAUGAUAACUGGGCGUAUGCGAUAUACAGUAUGCUCCUAAGCGAAAGCGUUAAGUUAUCCACCUGGGGAGUACGCCGGCAACGGUG
rnacentral:rRNA from 1 species